GAUGAACGCUGGCGGCGUGCCUAAUACAUGCAAGUCGAGCGAACAGACGAGGAGCUUGCUCCUCUGACGUUAGCGGCGGACGGGUGAGUAACACGUGUAUAACCUACCUAUCAGACUGGGAUAACUUCGAGAAACCGGAGCUAAUACCGGAUAAUAUAUUGAACCACAUGGUUCGAUAGUGAAAGACGGCUUUGCUGUCACUUCUCGAUGGAUCCGGGCCGCUUUAGCUGGUUGGUACGGUAACAGCUUACCAAGGCGACGAGGCGUAGCCGACGGCAGAGGGGGAUAGCCCACAUGGGAACUGAAACACGGUCCAGACGCCUACGGUAGGGAGCAGAAGGCAAUCUUCCGCAAUGGGCGAAAGCAUGGCGGAGCGAGCGCGCGUGAGUGACAAAGGCGUGCGGAUCGGAAAAAUCUGUUACUAGGUAAGAACAGAUGUCGAAGUAAACAUGCAGGGCGUGACGGUAACGAGUCAGAAAGCCACGGCUAACUACGUG
rnacentral:rRNA from 1 species